GACGGAGGAUGCAAGUGUUAUCCGGAAUCACUGGGCGUAAAGCGUCUGUAGGUGGUCAAAUAAGUCAACUGUUAAAUCUUGAGGCUCAACCUCAAAAAUCGCAGUCGAAACUAUUAGACUAGAGUAUAGUAGGGGUAAAGGGAAUUUCCAGUGGAGCGGUGAAAUGCGUAGAGAUUGGAAAGAACACCGAUGGCGAAGGCACUUUACUGGGCUAUUACUAACACUCAGAGACGAAAGCUAGGGUAGCAAAUGGG
rnacentral:rRNA from 1 species